rnacentral:sRNA from 1 species
GCCAGGUGCGGUGGCGCAUGUCUGUAAUCUCAACACCUUGGGAGGCUGAGGCAGGAGGAUUGCAAGUUCAAAGUUGGCCUCAGCAACUUAACACGGCCCUAAGCAACUCAGCGAGAUCCUGUCUCUA